UACGUAGGGGGCAAGCGUUGUCCGGAAUCAUUGGGCGUAAAGCGCGCGUAGGCGGCCCUGUAAGUCCGCUGUGAAAGUCCAAGGCUCAACCUUUGAAAGCCGGUGGAUACUGCAGGGCUAGAGUCCGGAAGGGGCGAGUGGAAUUCCUGGUGUAGCGGUGGAAUGCGCAGAUAUCAGGAGGAACACCAAUAGCGAAGGCAGCUCGCUGGGACGGUACUGACGCUAAGGCGCGAAAGCGUGGGGAGCGAACAGG
rnacentral:rRNA from 1 species